rnacentral:tRNA from 1 species
GUCCCUAUCGUCUAGCGGUUAGGAUGACUGGUUCUCAGCCAGCCGACCAGAGUUCGAAUCUCUGUAGGGACACCA